rnacentral:rRNA from 1 species
ACGGGUGAGUAAUACAUCGGAACGUGCCCUGUAGUGGGGGAUAACUAGUCGAAAGAUUAGCUAAUACCGCAUACGACCUGAGGGUGAAAGUGGGGGACCGCAAGGCCUCAUGCUAUAGGAGCGGCCGAUGUCUGAUUAGCUAGUUGGUGAGGUAAAGGCUCACCAAGGCGACGAUCAGUAGCUGGUCUGAGAGGACGAUCAGCCACACUGGGACUGAGACACGGCCCAGACUCCUACGGGAGGCAGCAGUGGGGAAUUUUGGACAAUGGGCGAAAGCCUGAUCCAGCAAUGCCGCGUGUGUGAAGAAGGCCUUCGGGUUGUAAAGCACUUUUGUCCGGAAAGGAAUGGCUCUGGUUAAUACCUGGGGUCGAUGACGGUACCGGAAGAAUAAGGACCGGCUAACUACGUGCCAGCAGCCGCGGUAAUACGUAGGGUCCAAGCGUUAAUCGGAAUUACUGGGCGUAAAGCGUGCGCAGGCGGUUGUGCAAGACCGAUGUGAAAUCCCCGAGCUUAACUUGGGAAUUGCAUUGGUGACUGCACGGCUAGAGUGUGUCAGAGGGGGGUAGAAUUCCACGU